rnacentral:misc_RNA from 1 species
AAUUUUGAAUUGAAUUGUCAAUUUUUUCUAGCACUUAGAAAUUCUGUAUUAAAUAAAUAGAGAUUAUUUUUUUAUAAAAAAAAGAGAGUGAAAAGGAUAGCCAAGUCGAGCCAACAAAAUCCAACCGAAGUCAAAGUUGUCGGCCCAUGGUCGCCGAAAUUUUGGACCCGACCAUUAAAUGAAUCUGCCCCACUUUAACGCAAUUUUUGAUGCAUGAGAGAGAGG